UACGGGGGGAGCAAGCGUUGUUCGGAUUUACUGGGCGUAAAGGGCGCGUAGGCGGUCAGCACAAGUCAGUUCGUGAAAUCUCCGGGCUUAACUCGGAAAGGUCAACUGAUACUGUGCGACUAGAGUGCGGAAGGGGCAACUGGAAUUCUCGGUGUAGCGGUGAAAUGCGUAGAUAUCAGGAGGAACACCGGUGGCGAAGGCGGGUCUCUGGGCCGAUACUGACGUGAGGAAGCGAAAGCGUGGGGAGCGAACAGG
rnacentral:rRNA from 1 species